rnacentral:tRNA from 1 species
CCUGGUGGCUCAGAUGAUAAAGAUCCUGUCUCUAAUACAGGAGAUGCAGGUUCGAUCCCUGCGUCAGGA